UACGGAGGGUGCGAGCGUUGUCCGGAAUCACUGGGCGUAAAGGGCGCGUAGGUGGCGCGGGCAGUCAACGGUGAAAGUUCGGGGCUCAACCCUGAAUCGGCCGUCGAUACUCCCGGGCUUGAGCACUGUAGAGGCAGAUGGAAUUCCGGGUGUAGCGGUGGAAUGCGUAGAGAUCCGGAAGAACACCGGUGGCGAAGGCGGUCUGCUGGGCAGUUGCUGACACUGAGGCGCGACAGCGUGGGGAGCAAACGGG
rnacentral:rRNA from 1 species